GCGGGCGUAGUUCAAUGGUAGAACACCAGCCUUCCAAGCUGGAUACGUGGGUUCGAUUCCCAUCGCCCGCUCCA
rnacentral:tRNA from 10 species